rnacentral:RNase_P_RNA from 1 species
GUAAGAGGCUUAGCUAACUAACGGUUGAAAAACUGAGGAAAGUCCGCCCACCAUGAAGGUAAAACUUCAGCAGUCUGUAAAUAGAUUGUAAAAAGGUCACUCUACAUAGUAGAGAUCCUGAGAGGGAUGUUAAUGGCUCAGAAACGAAACCACCUUUGUUUAAGAUGAUGGUUGUGAAGUUUUUCGCGAGAAAAAUGAGUUAACCACCUGAUGUUUUCAAAGGAAAGGGUGAAACGGCGAAUACUGGCUGGUGCAAGUCUUUACGACGCUUAGUAAAAUGUUAGCACUGUGAUUACUCAAUGUACACAGAACAAAAGGCGGCUUAUUAGCCUCUUAC